rnacentral:rRNA from 1 species
GACGAACGCUGGCGGCGUGCUUAACACAUGCAAGUCGAACGGAAAGGCCCUGCUUUUGUGGGGUGCUCGAGUGGCGAACGGGUGAGUAACACGUGAGUAACCUGCCCUUGACUUUGGGAUAACUUCAGGAAACUGGGGCUAAUACCGGAUAGGAGCUCCUGCUGCAUGGUGGGGGUUGGAAAGUUUCGGCGGUUGGGGAUGGACUCGCGGCUUAUCAGCUUGUUGGUGGGGUAGUGGCUUACCAAGGCUUUGACGGGUAGCCGGCCUGAGAGGGUGACCGGCCACAUUGGGACUGGGUUACGGCCCAGACUACUACGGGGGGAAGCAGUGGGGAAUAUUGCACAAUGGGCGGAAGCCUGAUGCAGCAACGCCGCGUGCGGGAUGACGGCCUUCGGGUUGUAAACCGCUUUCGCCUGUGACGAAGCGUGAUGGACGGUAAUGGGUAAAGAAGCACCGGCUAACUACG